CAGUAGCCGCGGUAAUACGUAAGUGGCAAGCGUUGUCCGGAAUUAUUGGGCGUAAAGGGCUCGCAGGCGGUUUCUUAAGUCUGAUGUGAAAGCCCCCGGCUCAACCGGGGAGGGUCAUUGGAAACUGGGAAACUUGAGUGCAGAAGAGGAGAGUGGAAUUCCACGUGUAGCGGUGAAAUGCGUAGAGAUGUGGAGGAACACCAGUGGCGAAGGCGACUCUCUGGUCUGUAACUGACGCUGAGGAGCGAAAGCGUGGGGAGCGAACAGGAUUAGAUACCCCUGUAGUCCCUGUCUCUUAUAC
rnacentral:rRNA from 1 species